rnacentral:rRNA from 1 species
UAGAGUUUGAUCCUGGCUCAGAUUGAACGCUGGCGGAAUGCUUUACACAUGCAAGUCGAACGGCAGCACGGACUUCGGUCUGGUGGCGAGUGGCGAACGGGUGAGUAACAUAUCGGAACGUAUCCAAUAAUGGGGGAUAACUAAUCGAAAGGUUGGCUAAUACCGCAUACGCCCUACGGGGGAAAGCUAGGGACCUUCGGGCCUGGCGUUAAUGGAGCGGCCGAUAUCUGAUUAGCUAGUUGGUGGGGUAAAGGCCCACCAAGGCGACGAUCAGUAGCUGGUCUGAGAGGACGACCAGCCACACUGGAACUGAGACACGGUCCAGACUCCUACGGGAGGCAGCAGUGGGGAAUUUUGGACAAUGGGCGCAAGCCUGAUCCAGCCAUUCCGCGUGAGUGAAGAAGGCCUUCGGGUCGUAAAGCUCUUUCGCAAGGGAAGAAAACUUAUCCUCUAACAUAGGAUGAGGUUGACGGUACCUUGAUAAGAAGCACCGGCUAACUACGUGCCAGCAGCCGCGGUAAUACGUAGGGUGCGAGCGUUAAUCGGAAUUACUGGGCGUAAAGCGUGCGCAGGCGGUUUUGUAAGUCAGAUGUGAAAUCCCCGAGCUCAACUUGGGAACUGCGUUUGAAACUACAAGACUAGAAUAUGUCAGAGGGGGGUAGAAUUCCACGUGUAGCAGUGAAAUGCGUAGAGAUGUGGAGGAAUACCAAUGGCGAAGGCAGCCCCCUGGGAUAAUAUUGACGCUCAUGCACGAAAGCGUGGGGAGCAAACAGGAUUAGAUACCCUGGUAGUCCACGCCCUAAACGAUGUCUACUAGUUGUUGGUGGAGUAAAAUCCAUGAGUAACGCAGCUAACGCGUGAAGUAGACCGCCUGGGGAGUACGGUCGCAAGAUUAAAACUCAAAGGAAUUGACGGA